UACGGAGGGGGCAAGCGUUAUUCGGAAUUAUUGGGCGUAAAGGGCGCGUAGGCGGCUAGAUGUGUCAAAGGUGAAGUCCCUCGGCUCAACUGAGGAACUGCCUUUGAAACUGUCUGGCUUGAGGCCGGGAGAGGGUAGCGGAAUUCCCAGUGUAGCGGUGAAAUGCGUAGAUAUUGGGAGGAACACCAGUGGCGAAGGCGGCUACCUGGACCGGUUCUGACGCUGAGGCGCGAAAGCGUGGGUAGCAAACAGG
rnacentral:rRNA from 1 species